rnacentral:rRNA from 1 species
GACCAGACUCCUACGGGAGGCAGCAGUGAGGAAUAUUGGGCAAUGGAGGCAACUCUGACCCAGCCAUGCCGCGUGAGUGAAGAAGGUUUUCGGAUUGUAAAGCUCUUUCGGAUGUGACGAUGAUGACGGUAGCAUCUAAAGAAGCCCCGGCUAACUUCGUGCCAGCAGCCGCGGUAAUACGGAGGAUGCGAGCGUUAUCCGGAUUUAUUGGGUUUAAAGGGUGCGUAGGCGGGUUAUCAAGUCAGCGGUAAAAUCGUGGAGCUCAACUCCAUCCAGCCGUUGAAACUGAUGAUCUUGAGUGGGCGAGAAGUAUGCGGAAUGCGUGGUGUAGCGGUGAAAUGCAUAGAUAUCACGCAGAACUCCGAUUGCGAAGGCAGCAUACCGGCGCCCGACUGACGCUGAAGCACGAAAGCGUGGGUAUCGAACAGGAUUAGAUACCCCGGUA